GGCCUGGUGGUCUAGUAGUAUGAUCCCUUCUUAGGGUUUCUCGCUCGUUUGGAGGAGGUCCCGGGUUCAAUUCCCGGCCAGGCCC
rnacentral:tRNA from 1 species